GAUGAAGAACGUAGCGAAAUGCGAUAAGUAGUGUGAAUUGCAGAAUUCCGUGAAUCAUCGAAUCUUUGAACGCACAUUGCGCCCCCUGGUAUUCCGGGGGGCAUGCCUGUUCGAGCGUCAUUUCACCACUCAAGCCUCGCUUGGUAUUGGGCAACGCGGUCCGCCGCGUGCCUCAAAUCGACCGGCUGGGUCUUCUGUCCCCUAAGCGUUGUGGAAACUUUCGCUAAAGGGUGUUCGGGAGGCUACGCCGUAAAACAACCCCAUUUCUAAGGUUGACCUCGGAUCAGGUAGGGAUACCCGCUGAACUUAAGCAUAUCAAUAAGCGGAGGA
rnacentral:misc_RNA from 1 species